rnacentral:rRNA from 1 species
AGCUCCAAUAGCGUAUAUUAAAGUUGUUGCAGUUAAAAAGCUCGUAGUUGAAUUUCUGUCAUUUUUAAGUUGGUCUUGCUUUGCUUGCACUGACUUAAAUUGGACAUCUUGAUAAUGAAUAUUUCUGACAUUAAUUUGUUGGGUAUAGGAAUUAUCACUUUUACUGUGAAUAAAUUAGAGUGUUUAAAGCAAGCGAUUGCCUUGAAUACAUUAGCAUGGAAUAAUAAGAUAGGACUUUGGUACUAUUUUGUUGGUUUUGUUGCCGAAGUAAUGAUUAAUAGGGAUAGUUGGGGGUAUUCAUAUUGAGUGGUCAGAGGUGAAAUUCUUGGAUUCACUCAAGAUGAACUACUGCGAAAGCAUUUACCAAGGAUGUUUUCAUUA